rnacentral:rRNA from 1 species
UAUGAAGUUGGAAUCGCUAGUAAUGGCAGGUCAGCAUACUGCCGUGAAUACGUUCCCGGGCCUUGUACACACCGCCCGUCACACCAUGAGAGUUGGGAAUACCCGAAGCCUGUGAGCUAACGUUAAGAGGCAGCAGUCGAAGGUAGAAUCAAUGAUUGGGGUGAAGUCGUAACAAGGUACC